rnacentral:lncRNA from 10 species
ACAUAUGCCUUGAGUUGCUCUUCAGUGAAUAUCACUUUUCCUUUCAUGUUUUUUCUACAUGCUAUUAUCUGUAUGAAAUGAAGACCAAGAAAGGAUGGGAAGAAGGAGAAGAAAAAUUUUGAUUUAUCUCAGAAACUAUACUCCGAAGUGAGAGUCCUGGUUGCAGCAUCCUUCACCGAAGCACGAAGCAGAAUCAAGCUGUUGCCAUGAAGCUUGUUUCAAGAGCUCAGAAAUACUCCAGGGACUCCUUUACUACUGCUUUUCAAAGAGGCCUUUUUUUCUCUCUUCUCCUUUUCCUGCAAAGAGGGUUAUAUCCAGUGCUCAAGGACAUGGGAUUAUCAGCCUAAGGCAUGAGUACAUGCUGUGGAAACAGAAAUAUGUAUGAAGGGAUGUAUGAAACCACAGAAUAAAUGGAAUCCACAUUCUUGAAGUAGCUACAACUCUACUUGAGGUCCCAAGGCACGUAGAUAGUACCUAUACAUCUCAUCAGGAACAUGGAUGGUUCUCUGCUAUCAGCUGAAGUGCUGUGACCACAAAACUGAAAAUUCCCAUUCUGUGUCCUUGCCAAUAAAGAAUGUCCAUCAGAGCACGCCCAGUAUCCUAGCUCCUUAUCCAGACUGUGCUUCUCAAUGUGACAAGGAAGACUGCAACCCUAUUUGCUUCUGAUAACCUUCCUAUGACUAAGGUAAGACAGCCUUGGGAUAAAGCAAGUUUUGUAUGUGGCAUAAAAGGGAAAGAGAAUGAGCCUGGGCACAUCAAAUACUUCUGAAGUCUCCUUUACAUCUGAACUUAUGAAAAUGUGAGAACAUACAUUUCCCAAUUGCUUGAGCCAAUUUGAGACAGGAUUUCUGUAUGUUUGUUUGUUUGUUUGGCUUUUUCCAGCCCAAGUCCUUUAUCUGGUACAAAUGGGUUGGAGAGAUUAGUAACUGUAAUUGACAUUCCUAUCGGAUGCUGAAACAAUUCAUUAGAAAGCCAGGGAUAUGAGAAGAUUGUCUGGAGAAGGGGGAAAAGUGGAGGUUGGUGCAAAAGGCACCCUGUGUCUCAAGAACCUUAGCAACAGUUAGCCAGUACAGUUUCACGGUUGCAGUAGGUGGGGAAAUGGUAAGCAUAUGUAGUGUUUGGGUUAGAGGGUAGAGAAGAAAUGCAGGUAACUAACAUUUAUUGAGAAUUUAGUUCUUGGCACUGUUUCCAUUUCAGAUAUGUUACUACAUUUUUGCCUCUCAACAGCACUAAGAAGUACAUAUUUAAAGAGAUAGAAACUUGAGACUCUGAGAUAUUAAUAUUCCCACAAUUACUCAGCUAGUAUAAAACUCCUCUCCCAUCCACAGUGCCUCUAAGUUCCUUACCAUCUAUAGCAUAGUUUAAGAAUUUAGGAAGUCAAAAAAGUACAGAAUACAUGUUUAAAAGGGGUCCAUCAAAGGUGCUAACAUGAAGACGAUGUAUUGUUAUCUCCCAACUCUAAGGAAUAUUUGCUAAUUCAGAAUAGAUUCAGAAUAAAUCAUUCCUGAAUGCUUCAGGGUUUUUG